AAACCAACAGGGAUUGCCCCAGUAGCGGCGAGUGAAGCGGCAAGAGCUCAGAUUUGAAAUCGUGUUUCGGCACGAGUUGUAGAGUGUAGGCGGGAGUCUCUGUGGAGCGCGGUGUCCAAGUCCCUUGGAACAGGGUGCCUGAGAGGGUGAGAGCCCCGUAGGGUGCUGCGCGAAGCUUUUGAGGCCCUGCUGACGAGUCGAGUUGUUUGGGAAUGCAGCUCCAAGCGGGUGGUAAAUUCCAUCUAAGGCUAAAUAUUGGCGAGAGACCGAUAGCGAACAAGUACUGUGAAGGAAAGAUGAAAAGCACUUUGAAAAGAGAGUGAAACAGCACGUGAAAUUGUUGAAAGGGAAGGGUAUUGGGCUCGACAUGGGGGGUGCGCACCGCUGUCUCUUGUAGGCGGCGCUCUGGGCGCCCUCUGGGCCAGCAUCGGUUCCUGCUGCGGGAGAAGGGGCUCCGGAAA
rnacentral:rRNA from 1 species